GGCGUUGAAGCAGUGUACGUCAGACUUCCAAGAAAAGCUCGCAAUGUCAUAAAUAAAAGAUGCCUGUACCAUAACCGACACAGGUGGGUAGGUAGAGUAUACUAAGGGGCGCGAGAUAACUCUCUCUAAGGAACUCGGCAAAAUGACUCCGUAACUUCGGGAGAAGGAGUGCCUUAUUUAUAAGGUUGCAAUAACAAGAUCCAAGCAACUGUUUAUCAAAAACACAGGUCUCCGCUAAGUCGUAAGACGAUGUAUGGGGGCUGACGCCUGCCCAGUGCCAGAAGGUUAAAGAAGUUGGUUAGUGUAUGCGAAGCUGAUGACUGAAGCCCUGGUGAACGGCGGCCGUAACAAUAACGGUCCUAAGGUAGCGAAAUUCCUUGUCGGGUAAGUUCCGACCCGCACGAAAGGCGUAAUGAUUUGGAUACUGUCUCGGAGAGAGGCUCGGUGAAAUAGACUUGUCUGUGAAGAUGCGGACUACCUGCACCAGGACAGAAAGACCCUAUGAAGCUUUACUGUAACUUGAAAUUGGAAUUGGACUUUGCUUGCGCAGUAUAGGUGGGAAGCUUGAAAAUAUUCUUGCGGGAGUAUUGGAGCUAUCAGUGAGAUACCACUCUUGUAAUGUUAGAUUUCUAACUUUGAACCAUAAUCUGGUCAAAGAACAGUUUCAGGUGGGCAGUUUGACUGGGGCGGUCGCCUCCCAAAUGGUAACGGAGGCGUACAAAGGUUUCCUCUGAACGGAUAGAAAUCGUAUCUAGAGUGUAAAGGCAUAAGGAAGCUUGACUGUGUGACCUACAAGUCGAGCAGGGACGAAAGUCGGUCUUAGUGAUCUGACGGUACUGAGUGGAAAGGCCGUCACUCAACGGAUAAAAGUUACUCUAGGAUAACAGGCUGAUCUCCCCCAAGAGUUCACAUCGACGGGGAGGUUUGGCACCUCGAUGUCGGCUCAUCGCAUCCUGGGGCGGUAGUACGUCCCAAGGGUUGGGCUGUUCGCCCAUGAAAGCGGUACGCGAGCUGGGUUCAGAACGUCGUGAGACAGUUCGGUCCAUAUCCGGUGUAGGCGCUAGAAUAUUGAGAGGAGCCUUCUUUAGUACGAGAGGACCGAGAAGGACACACCGCUGGUGUACCAGUUAUCGUGCCAACGGUAAACGCUGGGUAGCUAUGUGUGGAGUGGAUAACCGCUGAAAGCAUCUAAGUGGGAAGCCCACCUCGAGAUGAGUAUUC
rnacentral:rRNA from 1 species